AUGAUGCACCAAGGUGUUGAGCCCAGUGUGUGGACAUAUAGCUCAAUCAUUGAUGCAUUGUGCAAGGCCAGAGCAAUGGACAAGGCAGAGCUAGUGCUUCAGCAGAUGGUUAACAAAGGUGUUCAACCCAAUAAUGUGACAUAUAAUUGCAUGAUCCAUGGAUAUUCCACAUCUGGGAGGUGGAAAGAGGCUGCUAAAUUGUUUAGAGAAAUGAAAAGCCGGGGCCUUAUACCAGAUACUUUUACUUGCAACGCCUUAAUGACUUACCUUUGUAAGCAUGGAAGAAGCAAAGAAGCUGCAGAAUUUUUUGAUGCCAUGACUGCCAAAGGCCACAGAAAUGUCAACUCCUACUGUAUUUUGCUUCAUGGGUAUGCCAAUGAAGGAUGCUUUGCUGAUAUGAUUGAUCUCUUUAAUUCAAUGGAAAGCAAUGGUUUUGUAGCCGACUGCCAUGUUUUCACCAUAUUAAUUGAUGCAUAUGCUAAACGUGGAAUGAUGGAUGAAGCUAUGCUCAUAUUUACUGAAAUGCGGGAAAAAGGAGUGAGUCCCAAUGUAGUCACCUAUUCCACUGUAAUAGCCGCACUUUGCAGAUUGGGUAGGCUGUCCGAUGCUAUGGACAGGUUCAAUGAGAUGACUGAUAUGGGUGUACAGCCGAACACAGCUGUUUAUCGCUCCCUAAUUCAGGGUUUUUGUAUGCUUGGUGAUUUGGUUAAAGUUAAGGAAUUUGUUUCUGAAAUGAUGAACAAAGGUAUUCCUCGUCCUGACAUUGCGUUCUUCACUUCAGUAAUAAACUCUUUAUGCAAAGAAGGAAGGGUUAUGAAUGCACAAGGUAUCUUUGACUUGGUUAUAGGCAUGGGCGAGAGGCCUAAUGUCAUUAUAUUCAGUUCACUGAUUGACGGAUAUGGCUUAGUCGGCCAGAUGGGUAAAGCACUUGGAGUGCUUGAUGCCAUGGUAUCAGCUGGCAUUGAGCCUAAUGUUGUUACGUAUAGUUCACUACUUGAUGGCUAUUGUAGAAAUGGAAGGAUCAAUGAUGCUUUGAUUCUGUUCAGAGAAAUGCCACACAAGAGAAUUAAACCUGACACUGUUACAUAUGGCAUCAUGCUGGAUGGGUUGUUCCGUGCUGGCAGAACUGUUGCUGCAAGGGAAAUGUUCCAUGAGAUGACCGAAAGGGGUAUACCAGUGAGCAUUUCCAUAUACAAUAUAAUACUUCGUGGUCUUUGUAGAAAUAAUUGUGCAGACGAAGCGAUCGCACUAUUCCAGAAAUUAGGAGCAAGGAAUGUCAAGUUCGAUAUUAUAACACUCAAUACCAUGAUUAAUGCAAUGUUCAAGGUUCGGAGAAGAGAAGAAGCUAACGAUUUGUUUUCUGCAAUAUCAGCCAGUGGGUUGGUGCCUAAUGCUUCUACUUACGGUAUAAUGAUAGAAAAUAUUCUAAAGGAAGGAUCAGUGGAAGAAGUUGACAAUAUGUUUUCAUCAAUGGAGAAGAGUGGUUGUGCACCCAAUUCUCGUCUUAUAAAUUAUGUCAUCAGAAUGUUGUUGGAAAAAGGUGAGAUUGCCAGGGCCGGGAAUUAUUUAUCUAAAGUUGAUGGGAAGAUCAUCUCACUUGAAGCUUCAACUACUUCUUUGUUGUUGUCUCUCUUUUCAAGGGAAGGGAAAUACCGGGAAAACAUUGAAUUGCUUCCUGCAAAGUAUCAAUUUUUCAAUGGAUUUGGU
rnacentral:rRNA from 1 species